GACGAACGCUGGCGGCGUGCCUAAUACAUGCAAGUAGAACGCUGAAGAGAGGAGCUUGCUCUUCUUGGAAGAGUUGCGAACGGGUGAGUAACGCGUAGGUAACCUGCCUUGUAGCGGGGGAUAACUAUUGGAAACGAUAGCUAAUACCGCAUAACAAUGGGUGACCCAUGUCAUUCAUUUGAAAGGGGCAACUGCUCCACUACAAGAUGGACCUGCGUUGUAUUAGCUAGUAGGUGAGGUAACGGCUCACCUAGGCGACGAUACAUAGCCGACCUGAGAGGGUGAUCGGCCACACUGGGACUGAGACACGGCCCAGACUCCUACGGGAGGCAGCAGUAGGGAAUCUUCGGCAAUGGGGGCAACCCUGACCGAGCAACGCCGCGUGAGCGAAGAAGGUUUUCGGAUCGUAAAGCUCUGUUGUAAGUCAAGAACGAGUGUGAGAGUGGAAAGUUCACACUGUGACGGUAGCUUACCAGAAAGGGACGGCUAACUACGUGCCAGCAGCCGCGGUAAUACGUAGGUCCCGAGCGUUGUCCGGAUUUAUUGGGCGUAAAGCGAGCGCAGGCGGUUUGAUAAGUCUGAAGUUAAAGGCUGUGGCUCAACCAUAGUUCGCUUUGGAAACUGUCAAACUUGAGUGCAGAAGGGGAGAGUGGAAUUCCAUGUGUAGCGGUGAAAUGCGUAGAUAUAUGGAGGAACACCGGUGGCGAAAGCGGCUCUCUGGUCUGUAACUGACGCUGAGGCUCGAAAGCGUGGGGAGCGAACAGG
rnacentral:rRNA from 1 species